UACGUAGGUGGCAAGCGUUGUCCGGAUUUAUUGGGCGUAAAGCGCGCGCAGGCGGUCCUUUAAGUCUGAUGUGAAAUCUUGCGGCUUAACCGCAAGUGGUCAUUGGAAACUGGGGGACUUGAGUGCAGAAGAGGAAAGCGGAAUUCCACGUGUAGCGGUGAAAUGCGUAGGGAUGUGGAGGAACACCAGUGGCGAAGGCGGCUUUCUGGACGAUAACUGACGCUGAGGCGCGAAAGCGUGGGGAGCAAACAGG
rnacentral:rRNA from 1 species